AAAAACAUAGCCUUUAGCAAUAAAAGUAUUAAAGGUGAUGCCUGCCCAGUGAAACAUUAAACGGCCGCGGGACCAUAUACCGUGCAAAGGUAGCAUAAUCACUUGUCCCCUAAAUAGCGACUAGUAUGAAUGGCCCAAUGAAGAUACCCCUGUCUCUUAUAAUUAAUCUGUGAAACUGAUCUUCUAGUCCAAAAGCUAGAAUACUUCCACAAGACGAAAAGACCCUGUGGAACUUCAAAUAUUCCUACCCCAUAGCCCACUUAUUUUUAGUUGGGGCAACUUUGGAAACAAACAAAACUUCCAACAACACACAAGGUGCACACACCUAAUAAACCCUUUAAGACCCAGUAAAACUGAUAAAAGAAAUAAGCUACCCCAGGGAUAACAGCGCCAUCCCCUCCUAGAGCCCCAAUCGACGAGGGGGUUUACGACCUCGAUGUUGGAUCAGGGCCCCCAAACAGUGCAGCAGCUGUUAAUGGUUUGUUUGUUCAACAAUUAAUGCCCUACGUGAUCUGAGUUAAGACCGGAGCAAUCCAGGUCG
rnacentral:rRNA from 1 species